CACAGAUGAUGUUUUUCACGAUGGUCUUCAUAGUGGUUGUACAAUGUUGAAAAAGCCUAUUGGCAUUGCUGAUGUGAUCAU